UGUUGGGAUUAGGCCCAACGUUCAAGGACAAAGGGAGUUUAAAUGGAACUCCCUUCAACAUGAUUCACUCCCAUCUUCCAUCUUGCACUACUGCUCUCUCUCCUUUUCAAAUAUGUUGUUGAAGGUGAAGCUAAUGGAGAUGCAGAGAAGACCACAAAACCUUCAAUCAGUGUUGGUAGGAAUGACUUGAAAUGAAGAUAUGCUCAUGAAAGUUUUGGUCAAGGCAUGGAGGCUUGGGGAAGGAUUAUAAAAUGGCAAGGCAUAGAAUAAGUCAUGGAUCGUGGUUGGAGACUUGAAGACUUGGAAGUUCAAUCAUGGAAGACUCAUGAGGAUGUGGAAACAAGUAGGAUAGGGUUUUAGGAUAGUUGGUUGACUUUGGUCAACUCUUUGACUAAAAGUCAACAGUUGACUAAAAGUCAACUCUAUGUCAAAAUAUGUAAAUUUUGUGUAAUUUGAUUCUUGACUCUUUUGUAAUAAAUUUUUUGAAGGGUUUGUGAUGGAAAUUGGCCCUUAAAUUGGAUUGUAUGUCUUAUACUUCAUGAAAGUUCUUUUCCCCUCCAA